rnacentral:rRNA from 1 species
GUGGACGCCAGUCUGCAUGGAGCCGACCUUGAAAUACCACCCUUUAAUGUUUGAUGUUCUAACGUGGACCCGUAAUCCGGGUUGCGGACAGUGUCUGGUGGGUAGUUUGACUGGGGCGGUCUCCUCCUAAAGAGUAACGGAGGAGCACGAAGGUUGGCUAAUCCUGGUCGGACAUCAGGAGGUUAGUGCAAUGGCAUAAGCCAGCUUGACUGCGAGCGUGACGGCGCGAGCAGGUGCGAAAGCAGGUCAUAGUGAUCCGGUGGUUCUGAAUGGAAGGGCCAUCGCUCAACGGAUAAAAGGUACUCCGGGGAUAACAGGCUGAUACCGCCCAAGAGUUCAUAUCGACGGCGGUGUUUGGCACCUCGAUGUCGGCUCAUCACAUCCUGGGGCUGAAGUAGGUCCCAAGGGUAUGGCUGUUCGCCAUUUAAAGUGGUACGCGAGCUGGGUUUAGAACGUCGUGAGACAGUUCGGUCCCUAUCUGCCGUGGGCGCUGGAGAACUGAGGGGGGCUGCUCCUAGUACGAGAGGACCGGAGUGGACGCAUCACUGGUGUUCGGGUUGUCAUGCCAAUGGCACUGCCCGGUAGCUAAAUGCGGAAGAGAUAAGUGCUGAAAGCAUCUAAGCACGAAACUUGCCCCGAGAUGAGUUCUCCCUGAGACUUAGAGUCUCCUGAAGGAACGUUGAAGACGACGACGUUGAUAGGCCGGGUGUGUAAGCGCAGCGAUGCGUUGAGCUAACCGGUACUAAUGAACCGUGAGGCU